rnacentral:rRNA from 1 species
GACGAACGCUGGCGGCGUGCUUAACACAUGCAAGUCGAGCGAUGAAACUUCUUCGGAAGUGGAUUAGCGGCGGACGGGUGAGUAACACGUGGGUAACCUGCCUCAUAGAGGGGAAUAGCCUUUACGAAAGGAAGAUUAAUACCGCAUAAGAUUGUAAUGUCGCAUGACAUAGCAAUUAAAGGAGCAAUCCGCUAUGAGAUGGACCCGCGUCGCAUUAGCUAGUUGGUGAGGUAACGGCUCACCAAGGCGACGAUGCGUAGCCGACCUGAGAGGGUGAUCGGCCACAUUGGGACUGAGACACGGCCCAGACUCCUACGGGAGGCAGCAGGUGGGGAAUAUUGCACAGUGGGGGAAACCCUGAUGCAGCAACGCCGCGUGAGUGAUGACGGCCUUCGGGUUGUAAAACUCUGUCUUUAGGGACGAUAAUGACGGUACCUAAGGAGGAAGCCACGGCUAACUACGUG